rnacentral:rRNA from 1 species
AUUGAACGCUGGCGGCAUGCCUUACACAUGCAAGUCGAACGGCAGCACGGGUGCUUGCCCCUGGUGGCGAGUGGCGAACGGGUGAGUAAUACAUCGGAACAUGUCCUGUAGUGGGGGAGGGCCAGGCGAAGACGGGGUAAAUACUACAUCCUAAUAACGGAUAAAGCCGGGGUCCCUAGGGACCGCCGGCUUUGCGGUUGCCCGAUGGCGGAUUAGCUAGUUGGUGGGGUAAAGGCCUACCAAGGCGACGAUCAGUAGCUGGUCUGAGAGGACGACCAGCCACACUGGGACUGAGACACGGCCCAGACUCCUACGGGAGGCAGCAGUGGGGAAUUUUGGACAAUGGGCGAAAGCCUGAUCCAGCAAUGCCGCGUGUGUGAAGAAGGCCUUCGGGUUGUAAAGCACUUUUGUCCGGAAAGAAAUCCUUGGCCCUAAUACGGUCGGGGGAUGACGGUACCGGAAGAAUAAGCACCGGCUAACUACGUG